rnacentral:misc_RNA from 1 species
AGUCGUAACAAGGUUUCCGUAGGUGAACCUGCGGAAGGAUCAUUACAGAAUGAAAAGUGCUUAACUGCAUUUUUUCUUACACAUGUGUUUUUCUUUUUUUGAAAACUUUGCUUUGGUAGGCCUUCUAUAUGGGGCCUGCCAGAGAUUAAACUCAACCAAAUUUUAUUUAAUGUCAACCGAUUAUUUAAUAGUCAAAACUUUCAACAACGGAUCUCUUGGUUCUCGCAUCGAUGAAGAACGCAGCGAAAUGCGAUAAGUAAUAUGAAUUGCAGAUAUUCGUGAAUCAUCGAAUCUUUGAACGCACAUUGCGCCCUUUGGUAUUCCAAAGGGCAUGCCUGUUUGAGCGUCAUUUCUCCCUCAAACCCUCGGGUUUGGUGUUGAGCGAUACGCUGGGUUUGCUUGAAAGAAAGGCGGAGUAUAAACUAAUGGAUAGGUUUUUUCCACUCAUUGGUACAAACUCCAAAACUUCUUCCAAAUUCGACCUCAAAUCAGGUAGGACUACCCGCUGAACUUAAGCAUAUCAAAUAA